rnacentral:tRNA from 1 species
AUUCAAGUAGUUUAACUUAAAACUUUGGUCUUGUAAACCAAAAAUGAAGCAUCAAACCUUCCUCGAAUA